AGAGUUUGAUCCUGGCUCAGAGCGAACGUUAGCGGCGGGCUUAACACAUGCGAGUCGAGCGAGAAAGGGCUUCGGCCUGAGUACAGCGGCGGACGGGUGAAUAACACGUAGGUAACCUUCCCUUGAGCGGGGGACAACGGUCCGAAAGGACCGCUAAUACCGCAUACGUUUCUCGGGACCUCGGUUCCGGGAAGGAAAGGCCCGCAAGGGCCACUCGAGGAGGGGCCUGCGUAGCAUCAGCUAGUUGGUGGGGUAAUGGCCUACCAAGGCGAAGACGCUUAGCUGGUCUGAGAGGAUGAUCAGCCACACUGGGACUGAGACACGGCCCAGACUCCUACGGGAGGCAGCAGUGGGGAAUAUUGGACAAUGGGCGAAAGCCUGAUCCAGCCACGCCGCGUGAGUGAUGAAGGCCUUCGGGUCGUAAAGCUCUGUGGGGAGGGACGAACGGCGCCGUGAAGAACGGCGAUUGACGGUACCUCCUUAGCAAGCACCGGGCUACUUCUGUGCCAGCAGCCGCGGUAAUAC
rnacentral:rRNA from 1 species